GGAACAGUUUGGAGGAUGUAUUCACUGUUUAGGUGGAACAGUUGGGAGGAUGUAUUCACUGUUUAGGUGGAACAGUUGGGAGGAUGUAUUUACUGUUUAGGUGGAACAGUUGGGAGGAUGUAUUCACUGUUUAGGUGGAACAGUUGGGAGGAUGUAUUUACUGUUUAGGUGGAUGUAUUCACUGUUUAGGUGGAACAGUUGGGAGGAUGUAUUCACUGUUUAGGUGUAACAGUUGGGAGGAUAUAUUCACUGUCAUUGCGUGUUGUAUUGGUUGAUGGGUGAUUGUGAUGUGAGUUUAGA
rnacentral:lncRNA from 1 species